UACGUAGGGGGCAAGCGUUGUCCGGAAUCAUUGGGCGUAAAGGGCGCGUAGGUGGCCCGGUCAGUUCGUGGUGAAAGCGCGGGGCUCAACCCUGCGUCGGCCAUGAAUACUGCCGCGGCUCGAGCACUGUAGAGGCAGGCGGAAUUCCGGGUGUAGCGGUGGAAUGCGUAGAGAUCCGGAAGAACACCGGUGGCGAAGGCGGCCUGCUGGGCAGUUUUGCUGACACUGAGGCGCGACAGCGUGGGGAGCAAACAGG
rnacentral:rRNA from 1 species